AGACGCUGGUGGCUCCUGGCCAGCUCAAGGUGUUUGCUUUCGCCUGGUAACCAGGAGGUGUGGCUGAGGCAGGGCAUGGAGCAGAGCAACUCAGCUACAAAGUGCGGAGAGGAGCCCCGCUCUGGAUCCCGCUGGCUCCCCAAGGCUGAAGGAGACAAGGCUGGAUCCGGAGGAGCCCCCAGUAGGAACGGCAGCCGCUUGGGGGGCCGACUAUGUACGCGUACAGCUGGCUGCCGCCCAGGCAGGGCGUCUGGCCGCCGCCGCAGCCGCUCACCUGCACCUACCUGGCCGCCCCUCUGCUACUGCCCCCAAUCCAGGCCCACAGCUUCCGCAGCCGGCCAAGGAGCCUGCACGCGGGCGAGUGGGCGGCCCCUCGGGAAUACCACCGUUUCUACUGCCCCGCCGCGCCACCCGAGGCCGCGCCGCCCUGGUGGGCCUUGCCCUCCGGCCUACCCCGCGGCCCCGCGCCGGCCCUGCCCCGCCUGAGGGCGGGAGCCCGCAAGCCGAGCUACGCUGGGGACGCGUGGAACGCGCGCAGGGCCAGCCCCUACAGCUUCCGGACUUCGUGCGCCGGGAGCUGCGGCGCGCGUACGGCACCUACCCCCGCGCCGACGUGCGCGUCACCCAGCGCCGCGGCCAGUUCCUGUUGCGGGCGACGGCGUGCGUGAGCGAGCGCUACCGCCGCGUGGAGUGGCGUGUGCGGCGCCGGCCCGACAGCGGCGACAGCGGCAAGAGAGGCCCAGCCCAGGAAGCCGCGGAGCGCGGCCGCCCCAGGAAGAGCAAGGGCCUGAGCUGAAGGCGCUGAAAGGCCUUGCGACCGGCCCGCGUGCACGCGCGCGCGGCUCUUCCCUGUGUCUGCCUCCCCCGCCAGGCAGAAAGGAGCCCUCACCUGCGCGCGGGAGGCUGGCGCGCCGCUCACCUGUCUUUUUGGCCUUUCCCAUGAUUGCCUGCCCGCUUCCUGCACUUGUUUCUCUCGGCUUAUUGCUGGACUGUGGGGGAAGGGCAAAGGCAGGACGGAAUCAAGGACACCUCUGGGUGUUCUGUACCUCUUUCCCUCUUGCACCUUGGGAAGUGGAGGACGUGGGAUGGAAGAAGGGCCUGGACCUCUCUUCUUCCUCCUCCCCACCUUCUCCUAAGGAGCCUGCGCUGCAGUAAGCCCCAACUUUCCCUUCCUCUUUUCCCUCUUAUCAGAGUCAAAGCCCACCCUCCUUUCCCACCGCUCCCCUACCCCCGCCCUUCUUGCCAAGCCGAGGGGCGACGGUGAUCCCCAGCUUAGUAGAAAAGUAAAUAGGCCGGGCGCGGUGGCUCACGCCUGGAAUCCCAGCACUGUGGAAGGCCGAGGUGGGCGGAUCGCUUGAGCCCAGGAGUUGGAGACCAGCCUGGGCAUCAUGGCGAAACCCUGUCUCUA